UGAGUAAUGCCUGGGAAAUUGCCCUGAUGUGGGGGAUAACCAUUGGAAACGAUGGCUAAUACCGCAUGAUGCCUACGGGCCAAAGAGGGGGACCUUCGGGCCUCUCGCGUCAGGAUAUGCCCAGGUGGGAUUAGCUAGUUGGUGAGGUAAGGGCUCACCAAGGCGACGAUCCCUAGCUGGUCUGAGAGGAUGAUCAGCCACACUGGAACUGAGACACGGUCCAGACUCCUACGGGAGGCAGCAGUGGGGAAUAUUGCACAAUGGGCGCAAGCCUGAUGCAGCCAUGCCGCGUGUGUGAAGAAGGCCUUCGGGUUGUAAAGCACUUUCAGUAGGGAGGAAGGUGGUAGUGUUAAUAGCGCUAUCAUUUGACGUUACCUACAGAAGAAGCACCGGCUAACUCCGUGCCAGCAGCCGCGGUAAUACGGAGGGUGCGAGCGUUAAUCGGAAUUACUGGGCGUAAAGCGCAUGCAGGUGGUUUGUUAAGUCAGAUGUGAAAGCCCCGGGCUCAACCUGGGAAUUGCUUCUGAUACUGCUGGACUAGAGUACGGUAGAGGGCAGUGGAAUUUCCGGUGUAGCGGUGAAAUGCGUAGAUAUCGGAAGGAACACCAGUGGCGAAGGCGACUGCCUGGACUGAUACUGACACUGAGGUGCGAAAGCGUGGGUAGCAAACAGGAUUAGAUACCCUGGUAGUCCACGCCGUAAACGAUGUCAACUAGCCGUUGGGGGACUUG
rnacentral:rRNA from 1 species